UAGCUUCCGACUCAUUCAUCC
rnacentral:siRNA from 1 species